AUCUUCCACAAUGGACGAAAGUCUGAUGGAGCAACGCCGCGUGAGCGAAGUAGGUUUUCGGAUCGUAAAGCUCUGUUGCUAGGGCAGAACAAGUACGUGAGUAACUGCCCGUACCUUGACGGUACCUCGUCAGUAACCCACGGCUACCUACUUGCCAGCAGCCGCGGUAAUACGUAGGUGGCAAGCGUUGUCCGGAAUUAUUGGGCGUAAAGCGCGCGCAGGCGGUCAUUUAAGUCUGAUGUGAAAGCCCACGGCUCAACCGUGGAGGGUCAUUGGAAACUGGAGGACUUGAGUACAGAAGAGGAAAGCGGAAUUCCACGUGUAGCGGUGAAAUGCGUAGAGAUGUGGAGGAACACCAGUGGCGAAGGCGGCUUUCUGGUCUGUAACUGACGCUGAGGCGCGAAAGCGUGGGGAGCAAACA
rnacentral:rRNA from 1 species